UGGUCCCCCUCUCGCUUGUCUUAGGUGCGUGCUCAGUGAUGUGGCCGCUGCUUUGUUUCACGGCUGGUCAAUGCCCGCCCUUGCGACGGUUGGGCACACCUCAGCGCGGAAUCUCAGGGCUCGAUGCCCUCUCUGCGGGGAAGCCCAGCAAUCUCCUAUCCCCUUGCCAACGCCGCACCACAUCUGGCGGCGACACGGUCACGCACCCACGACGUGGGGUGGGGGUGGAGGUGAGAGCGAUGUGUUGCUGCUGAUGUCUGCGUUGGGAGACUGGAUGGCGCUGCGUCGGAGCGGGCUGCGGCAGCGAGCACGUCUGCGCCGCCCACAUGAUGGACGAGGUGUGAGCGUGGCUGGAGGAUAUCCCACCCGGCCCUGGCACUGCCUCCUGGUGUGGGGAGCCUGCGCCACGGCGAGGGGGAUGCACCAGGAGGGGUGGCGGCCGGCGGAGCGGGUGGUUUGCAGAGCUGGAGUCAGCGGCCGUGCUUGUGUGCCUGGGUGGGUGCAGCGCUGUGACGCGUGUGCCCACCGCUGCCUAACGCCACGUGACGUAUAUGUGAGAAGGCUGACGGUCGAAUGCAGUGCAGCUGAUACGCAAUGACGGAGAAUGGACACGCUGAAGGAAAAUAGGGCGAAUGCGCGGGUGCAUCACCGCUCUUCGUUGCGGGUGUCUGUGUAUGACUGUAAUGGCAUCUGCAAAGUCAAGGGUGCCCGCCGAUCGCUGAAAUGGAUCCCUGUUCCUAUAUCCAGUAGCAGCAUACGACAUGCUCUAGCGGGUGCCGCGCAUUCUAUAGCGUCCACAAGGCUAACUCUUGUAUUCACAUUCCUAUAUGUGGUGACUUUUUGGCGAGAGGCUGGCCUGAUGUCUCGAGUACUGGUCAUCUGUCUUUCCUUUCCGAGAGCAUCGGCGGAAAAAGGGAGGUGGAUGAAAAGAGCGGGGCACACGCAUGGCUCAGUAUAAAAGGGGGGGGGGCUAUCGUUCGGGAUUUACUUCGGUGGCGCCGGCGCAUACUUCGCCGGCGCUCCCUGAAGCCACCGCUGCCCUUCGUGAGGGGAGUCGUUGUUACGAAACACGGAUCACCUCAUCGUAAUCCUGCAACAGAUUUUGCUCCUCCGACAGCCGUUCUUUGACCUCCCUCCGGCCCUCGCACAGCGGGGUAAGGGUGCCGCUCGCAAGUGGCAACGCCACGUCCUUCACAUGCGAGCAGGCGAGAGAUGAGCCCGGCGCGGAGUUGCACUCCUCAAAGUUACGCGAGUUGUGUGUCAGCAGGAUUCAGUGAGCCGGGGCGGUGUAGAAGAACACAACUUCGAUGCUCCGCUCGUAAAGCCAAACGGCGCGUGUACGCGCCCAGCGUGUUCAGCGCCGGGCCCACACCCACUGCUGCUCAAACCCAUUCAACUGCUUUCUGCGCAUGCAGGAUGAGGAGGGGUGGUGAUGGUCCGUCACCAAGGCGACCUUUGCCCGAACUGGGGUAGGGGAGGGGGCGAGGGUGUUCUAUCGUGAAGCUGAUGAUCCGUGUUGGCAAUGCUGGAGGCGAGCGGCCGCUGCCGGUUUAUGUGCUAUUCGUACAGACAGGUGAUGUACAAAGCAGCGGGCAGUCAUGUACAGGCCAGAAUCCUCGCUGGGCCACUGCUGUCGCGCGCAUGCGCUGUGAGAGACUGAUAAGCCCGGCCCCACCGUGCGGAGCUUGCAACGUGGCGCCUACGAUACGCUGACUGAGGGUGCAUAAUCGCACGCGGUCAAGACAGCGGGCAUGCUGUCCGACGCCUUCUCCAAGAUUCCCGCGAUCCGAUGCGACCGCAGAGCUUGUGGAAGGUACAGCGCGCCCACGACCUGCUGGCCUACUGGCGGAGAGCACGAGCCCGUUAGCGCCGCCGAACACGGCAUAUUGCAUCGCAGCGAAGCGUCGCAUGGUGCGGGAGGCAGCGACGAGAGAGAGUGCCGAAUUCCAGGUGGGAGGUCUUGCCUGCAUGUAGAUCACCGCCCCCUCCAAACUGCGGCGCGAGAGGUACAGUACCUCCACCGGUAGCGUGCCGUUCUGCUAGCGGUUCCGUGCGCCCGCGCCUUGUUGGCGAUGGUGCCGCCCCUCAGGGAAAAGCUCCUCGAGCAGGCCGCCUCCACACGAGUCCUCAGGCGUCGCCCCCCCCCCCAAACACCCGCACACCACACACCACACAUCACCACCACCUCAUCGGGGUACGCCAUUUCGAUGUGCUUCACGCCAAUGUGAGGGGGGUGGGGGCGGCUAUGCACGCUCAAGAGAAGGGAGGAUAGCAAGCCAAAACACGAGAGCACGAGACAUCAGUACACGCCGACACACCCCAGCGAGACAGCGCAGGGAAGAGUAUCGAGGAGACUUCAGGGGCACUCAUCAAAGAACCAGGCCCCCAAAAUUUGAUCAAGACUUUGUAGUUCACGAGGCCGGCAAGCCUUUUACCCGCCUCUCGGCCUACCCUGCAUCCCUGGGCCUUGCGACUUCUUCGCUCAGUGGAGGACCCACGGGCAGGCACAGACAGGCAAGCUGUGCAUCGCUCUUUUCUCGUUGAUUAUUCGCCCUUACCACUGACUACACGCUGGAAAAG
rnacentral:misc_RNA from 1 species